GAUGAAGAACGUAGCGAAAUGCGAAAAGUAGUGUGAAUUGCAGAAUUCAGUGAAUCAUCGAAUCUUUGAACGCACAUUGCGCCCGCCAGUAUUCUGGCGGGCAUGCCUGUUCGAGCGUCAUUACAACCCUCAGGCCCCCGGGCCUGGCGUUGGGGAUCGGCGGAAGCCCCCUGCGGGCACAACGCCGUCCCCCAAAUACAGUGGCGGUCCCGCCGCAGCUUCCAUUGCGUAGUAGCUAACACCUCGCAACUGGAGAGCGGCGCGGCCACGCCGUAAAACACCCAACUUCUGAAUGUUGACCUCGAAUCAGGUAGGAAUACCCGCUGAACUUAAGCAUAUCAAUAAGCGGAGGA
rnacentral:misc_RNA from 1 species